AACGAACGCUGGCGGCAGGCCUAACACAUGCAAGUCGAACGCUGUAGCAAUACAGACUGGCAGACGGGUGAGUAACGCGUGGGAACCUUCCCAGUGGUACGGAUUAGCUCAGGGAACUUGAGGUAAUUCCGUAUAAGCCCCUUGGGGGAAAGAUGUAUCGCCAUUGGAUGGGGCCGCGUCGGAUUAGCUAGUUGCUGAGGUAAUGGCCCACCAAGGCGACGAUCCGUAGCUGGUUUGAGCGAAUGACAAGCCACACUGGGACUGAGACACGGCGCAGACUCCUACGGGAGGCAGCGGUGGGGAGUAUUGGACGAUGGGCGCAAGCGUGAUCCGGCCAUGCCGCGUGAGUGACGGAGGCCUUAGGGUUGUAAAGCUCUUUUAGCAGGGACGAUAAUGACGGUACCUGCAGAAUAAGCUCCGGCUAACUUCGUGCCAGCAGCCGCAGUAA
rnacentral:rRNA from 1 species